rnacentral:lncRNA from 1 species
UUAAAAUUUGGCUUUAGGCCACCAAAUUCAUUGAGCCGACCCUGCUUAUACAUACAAAUUCUAAAGGCAUGAUACAUAAGCACACACUCAAAACUUGGCCUUAGUUGCCAAGUAAACACUUCAACUUUGAGAGUGCACGCCUAGACACCUCAAUUGGCAACCAAACCGUCCAACUCGUUUUUAUUGUGUCUCGUGGACACCUGACACUAACGUGCAUAAACAUCAGGAGGUAUGCAGAUGAUCAUUUUAUAACAACUUAUAUUGUUGAGACAAGCUGAGGUGUUAAGAUGUGGAUACUCAACGUUGGAGGAUUUACUUGUCAACUGAUUGUUUUACUUGCCAACCUAUUUUGAUCCAAGCAAUCUUAGGUGAAUUCAUAAUUCUUUUACGAAGAAGGAAUGAAUAUAUUCCCGAACUUUGAUAAAUAGUAUAGAUAUACCCUUCGUCAUGUCUUAGGUACAAAUAUACUCUUACCGUUAAUGAAAAGGUAUAUAUAUACCCCUGAACUUUGAUAAAUGAUACAAAUAUACAGUCCAUCAUACUUUAAGUACAAAUAUACUCUUGCGUUAAUAAAAAGGUACAUAUAUACUCUUCUCACUAACGUCAGGGUACGCGUCACAAUCCUGUUCAUUUGCUUUUUUUAAUUUAAUUUAUCCCAAUCUCACCCCAAAAUAAUUUUAAUUUAAUCCAUAACCCAAUCCAAAUAAUAAUUCAAACCUGACCCGGUCUAAUAGAAAGAGAAAGAGAGAAUGAAUAUGCAUGAAUAGAGAUGCGUCUUGAAGGCUCUGUUAGACCGGGUCAGGCUUGGGUUAUUAUUUGGAUCGGUUUGUAGGUUAAAUUAGAAUUAUUUUCUGGUAGGAUGAGAAUAAAUUAAAUUAAAAAGGGUAAAUGAACAAGAUUGAGACACAUGUCCUGCCGUUAGUGAGAAGGGUAUAUAUGUAUUUUUUCAUUAACAAUAAGAGUAUAUUUAUACCUAAAGUAUGACGGAGAGUAUAUCUGUACCAUUUCUCAAAGUUUAUGUAUGUAUCUUUUCAUUAAUAAGAAUAUAUUUGUACCUAAAAUAAAAUAAUGGAUAUAUUUGUAUCAUUUAUCAAAGUUGAGAGAUAUAUUUAUAUAUUUUCUUUUUUAAAUAUAUAAAUAAAAUAACCCAAAAAUUGAUAUGAUAUAAGUUUUUAAAAAUAACCCGGAGAGAGGGAGAGUGACUGCCAGCUUAAAGGGAAGACGGACAAUUAGUUAAGACAGUAACCGAUAAGGGAAGGAAAUUUGGAGGAUUCAAAAUAUGAUAAUUACUUCCUAAAUUAUAGGAUUUGAUUUUUUGCUAUAAAUAUAAUUGCUAUUUUUAGGGGAAAAAAAUUUAAGAGGGGGAAGGGGUUCAUUCGAAUUCCUUUAGUUCGAAAAUAAUACUAUAUAUACAAGUUAAGUUUUUGUCUCAAACUUAUCGAAUUAGAGGCGAAGCUAGAAUUUUAAAUGUACAAAUGUACAGAUUCUAGAUUUUAGAAAAAGAGAGUUACAUCUGCACAUAUUAAGUGGAUUUUGUUGGGACUGUGUGUAACUUGACUCAAACUCCGCACUAGUAUGAUAUUGUCCGCUUUGGGUUAAGCUCUUACGGAUUUAUUUUUUUCCAGAAGGUUUCAUACUAGUAGAGUUGGGUGACACUUUAAAUAUUGGAUAUGUUCCCUCUAUUUUGUACCACCGUUAUCACCCAACGGGACACGCCGCGUAACCACCACUCGACCGGAAGACUUUCAACACAAAGUGGAUCUUGUUGGGACUAUGUGUAACUUGACUCUUACUCCACACUAGUAUGAUAUUGUCCGCCUUGGGUCAAGCCCUUAUGGAUUUAUUUUUGGACACCUCCCAGAAGGCCUCAUACUAGUAGAGUUGGGUGACACUUUAAAUAUUGGAUAUGUUCUCUCUAUUUUGUACCACCGUUAUCACCCAACGGGACACGCCGCCUAACCACCACUCGCCAGAAAGACUUUCGACACAAGGCACCACUUGCAGAUCUCCAGUCUUGUUGUCACACUGGGAACUUCUCAUCAAACGCAGUCCACUACUUCGACACACCCGAAUCUGAGCUUUGAUACCACUUGUUGGGACUGUGUGUAACUUCACCCAAACUCUAUACUAGUAUGAUAUUGUUCGCUUUGGACCAAACCCUCACGGAUUUGUUUUUGAGCACCUCCCAAAAGGUUCAUACCAGUGGAGUUGGGUGACACUUUAAAUAUUAGACAUGUUCCCUCUAUUUUUUCGAUGUAGGAUUGCUUUGCUUCCCAACAGUACUUUACCGAACUAGUAAUAUUUAAAGUCCUAUUGAUAUUUUUUAAGAGCCAGAACAACAUAGCAUACAAGCACGUCUUGAUAAAAAUUAUGUUUCCACUACUAAUUAUAAUAAUUGAAUUAUUAAGAAGGUAGAAUUUUGAAUUUAUGGAUUCUAGAUUUUAGAAAAAGAGAGUUGAAUCUGUACAUAUUAAGUGGGUCUUUUAACACGGCUUUUGCACCAAAAUUACUAAUUUUGUCGAACCAGUAAUUUAAAUGCCUAUUAAUAUUUUUUAAGAAUUCGAACAACAUAGCAUAUAAGUACAUCAUGAUAAAAAUUUUGUCUCCACUAUUAAUUACAAUAAUUGAAUUACUAAGAAGCUAGAAUUUUUAGUUUAUAAGUUUUACAUUUUAGAUAGAGAAAGUUAUUGGGCUGUUGAUAAAUUAUUUAUACAUAUUACAUUAAUUUUUUUUAACAGUGUAUCUAUAUCAAAGCUAUUGAGUUCGGCCAAACUAAUAAACGAAAUGAUAGCUCUACCCCGCGUCCAUUCUUCAAAAAUUAGGAAAUUCUCAAAAAAAUUAAAAAAAAAUAAAAAAUUUAAGGAUUUAAUAUGCACCUGUCGACAUUUUUCUAAAGUCUGAACAACAUAUACAAGUAUGUCUUGUUAAAAAUUCUGUCUCCGCACAAAUUAUAAUAAUUGAAUGACUUAAAGAGGAAUUGAAAGAAAUGUAGAAUAUACCUCUCUAAUUUCUGAGAAGCUAACUGCAUAAAAUGUAACAGCAGCUGCUGCUAUAAUUCCAAGUAUUGGAAGUCCUACUUGUUGAAUUCCAUCCAUUUUUCUUGUGUGUGUGUUUUCUUUUUUAGUUUUUGUGCUUGGAUUUGAUAUUUUGAUUUCUAAUUUCUCUUUUUAAUUGUUUUUUGGGAUGACAUUGGAUAAGAUAUCUUGUAUGUGGAUAAAUUGAGAUAAGGAUGUGUAGUGGCCCAAACUCAAAUUGUUAUCCUAGAGAGUCCUUCCUGCUACAUUUCUUCUGUUUUAAAGGCUUAAAU